AAAAAUAGAAAAAUAAAGAAUUUCAUAUUUUUAGGGGGCGUCCAUUAUUUAAUCUCGAAAUAGAGGCUUUUGAUCCUUGAUAUUUUUCUAAUGAAUUGACAAAGAAUCGGAAUAAUCUGGGACUAUUUUCUUAAAACAACUCUUUUAUGCUAAAACGCGGAAAGGGCAGAACACAAGAACGGUGAAAUGCAACACCAAUGACUCUAAUAUUGGUUAAAUUUGA
rnacentral:lncRNA from 1 species